GGUAUGCUUCUUCGGAAGAGAGACCGGCGCACGGGUGCGUAACGCGUAUGCAAUCUACCUUUUACAGAGGGAUAGCCCAGAGAAAUUUGGAUUAAUACCUCAUAGUAUAGCUGAAUCGCAUGAUUCUACUAUUAAAGUCACAACGGUAAAAGAUGAGCAUGCGUCCCAUUAGCUAGUUGGUAAGGUAACGGCUUACCAAGGCUACGAUGGGUAGGGGUCCUGAGAGGGAGAUCCCCCACACUGGUACUGAGACACGGACCAGACUCCUACGGGAGGCAGCAGUGAGGAAUAUUGGACAAUGGGCGCAAGCCUGAUCCAGCCAUGCCGCGUGCAGGAUGACGGUCCUAUGGAUUGUAAACUGCUUUUAUACGAGAAGAAACACUGCUUCGUGAAGCAGCUUGACGGUAUCGUAAGAAUAAGGAUCGGCUAACUCCGUGCCAGCAGCCGCGGUAAUACGGAGGAUCCAAGCGUUAUCCGGAAUCAUUGGGUUUAAAGGGUCCGUAGGCGGUUUAAUAAGUCAGUGGUGAAAGCCCAUCGCUCAACGGUGGAACGGCCAUUGAUACUGUUAAACUUGAAUUAUUAGGAAGUAACUAGAAUAUGUAGUGUAGCGGUGAAAUGCUUAGAGAUUACAUGGAAUACCAAUUGCGAAGGCAGGUUACUACUAAUGGAUUGACGCUGAUGGACGAAAGCGUGGGUAGCGAACAGGAUUAGAUACCCUGGUAGUCCACGCCGUAAACGAUGGAUACUAGCUGUUGGGAGCAAUCUCAGUGGCUAAGCGAAAGUGAUAAGUAUCCCACCUGGGGAGUACGUUCGCAAGAAUGAAACUCAAAGGAAUUGACGGGGGCCCGCACAAGCGGUGGAGCAUGUGGUUUAAUUCGAUGAUACGCGAGGAACCUUACCAAGGCUUAAAUGUAGAUUGACCGGUUUGGAAACAGAUCUUUCGCAAGACAAUUUACAAGGUGCUGCAUGGUUGUCGUCAGCUCGUGCCGUGAGGUGUCAGGUUAAGUCCUAUAACGAGCGCAACCCCUGUUGUUAGUUGCCAGCGAGUCAUGUCGGGAACUCUAACAAGACUGCCAGUGCAAACUGUGAGGAAGGUGGGGAUGACGUCAAAUCAUCACGGCCCUUACGCCUUGGGC
rnacentral:rRNA from 1 species